UACGGAGGGGGCGAGCGUUAUUCGGAAUUACUGGGCGUAAAGGGCGCGUAGGCGGUGUGGUAAGUCUGUUGUGAAACCUCCAGGCUCAACUUGGAGCUUGCAUCAGAAACUGCCGUGCUAGAGUGCGGAAGAGGCGAGUGGAAUUCCUGGUGUAGCGGUGAAAUGCGCAGAUAUCAGGAGGAACACCGGUGGCGAAGGCGGCUCUCUGGACCUGUCCUGACGCUCAGGCGCGAAAGCUAGGGGAGCAAACAGG
rnacentral:rRNA from 1 species